AUACAGCUGACGAGUCCCAAGUAGGUUGAAACGCGUGUCCUGGAU
rnacentral:hammerhead_ribozyme from 1 species